CUCUGGCCAAUGAGCCCUCCGUGCCUUCUGGCUCUUAGAGCAGCUGAAGUGGUAACAGAGAUGAAUAAAGGGCUUCAGGCGGAGCUGUCAGCUGGAGCCUCGCAGCCGUAGUAGCUGUAGUAAAAGCAGCGGCAGUGGUAUCAGAAUACCAGUCACAAAGGAAAGCGGGCGGCGAUACUCUAUUUACAGUUCAUCUGUUUACUAUAAUCCGCUCAUUUGUAGUGUAAUGUAAACUUGCAAUUACCAAGGCUGCUUUCCAUGCCAGACCAGCAGUUUAACCUGCGUGUCAUUCCAAAAUGCUGAUAGAGGAGAGAAUGGAACUGCCGGGAGGACUGCAGCCUGAAAGCUGCACGGGUUUGAUUUUCUCUUCUUCCCCUUCCUUAUAUAAGCUCUGUGCCGCAGAGGAAAGUUUCCACAGACUGAGAAGAUCAUCUGCAGCCUCAAAUCCACUUGAACGAUAAGGUUUUUUUCUUUUCCCCCAAGGCUAACGUAUUACGUACCUACUCAGCACAGGGCUGCCUGUUAUCUGAUAAGAUAAUUAGCAUCAGACACUAGGAAAAGCACGUGUACUUUUAAAAAGCAGCGUUACUGAAGGCUCACAGAGAGAGUUACAAACCUUUGCUUAUCAGAGCUUUUCCAUGCAGAAGACUUGCGCUAGACUUUGACUUUGGGUCAAGAAGUCCUUUCUUAAAUUAUCAAUGCAAAUGUGUUUUACUUUAUUCGUGUGGAAUUUUAGCGUGUCGGACAGCCUCCCUCUCCAGCACUUUGGGGCUUUUUACAGAUUUACUGUGGGCCGAGAGUUCCAGCUCUGGCUCUGAGCACUUCUGUUUGUUUUAUCCUCUGCAAAGACAUCUGUUCUACAUGGCUCUCCACCUUGGCUGUGGUUCAAUUUCCACCGGCUUCCAUGAACUCCAUUAUGAAACCCAAGCGUAAGCCUGCCUUUGCCCCAGGACCAGCUCAUGACUCCCGAGCACAGACGUGGGGCUUCCAAAUGCCCUCAGCUACCCUUCCUGAAGCACCUGGCUACAGGGAGCAACCACCACCUUGCAGAAGUCACACCUUCUCUUCCAGCCUGGCCCUCCCCUGCUAACUGACAGCCACGAGCCUUCAAAGCCACACUGGAGUAGUUUAAAAAUAGGGAAAGCUGAGACAAAGACCUUUAUCAGCUGUAAAACUGGGACAACACCGAUGCUUACCCUGCCUGUUACGGUCUUUGCCAGUUGCUGAACAGCUACAGUGAUUCUGGGUGGUCAAAGGGGAAGAAGGCAGGAUAUGAAACGAGAACUUGACAUGUGACACUCAUGAGUCCUGUUUGUGGAGCAGUUGGCUCGCAGGCAGGAACUCCUGUCUGAGCAUGUCGGCUGCAUCCUCUGCUGCAAACCCUGCUGGCCUGGCAUUGUGGUAAUGCACACUGUAGCUGGGCUGAUCCCGUGGCCUGGCAGAGUCUUUCAGUUUCAGAGCUCUUGAGGACACCACAUGCCCAUGACCCUGCAGAAGAAACUGGAAAAACACCACUUCAACUUGUAAUUGGAUACAAGCUGUCUGAGAUGGAAAUUGAGAGCAAAGUUCUCUGUUUAUUUACGAGCCAGCACUGAUACCUGAAGCAUAAAGCAAGGCACCUUCAGAUCAAUGCCAGCAAACUCUCGACUAUAUUGGAAAAUCCUUCCUGCCACGGGACAAGCACGACCGUGUCCUCGUGUUCUUUCAGCGUAACCCCCACCUUGAUAACACUUGUCAUCUGAGCAGCUUGUAUGACAGGUCUGUGAAGUGGAUUACUACUGUCCACUAGAGGCUGUAAUGAGACCAACAAUGUCAUUUUAUGACAAAUUGAAGUCUUAGACUGUAAUGAUCGAUAAUUGUAAGAUUACUGUUCACAUGCAGUGCAUCGUCAGUCACUGGAUUUCCCUGAACGUGGA
ensembl:lncRNA